rnacentral:rRNA from 1 species
AUUGAACGCUGGCGGCAGGCCUAACACAUGCAAGUCGAGCGGAUGACGGGAGCUUGCUCCUUGAUUCAGCGGCGGACGGGUGAGUAAUGCCUAGGAAUCUGCCUGGUAGUGGGGGACAACGUUUCGAAAGGAACGCUAAUACCGCAUACGUCCUACGGGAGAAAGCAGGGGACCUUCGGGCCUUGCGCUAUCAGAUGAGCCUAGGUCGGAUUAGCUAGUUGGUGGGGUAAUGGCUCACCAAGGCGACGAUCCGUAACUGGUCUGAGAGGAUGAUCAGUCACACUGGAACUGGGACACGGUCCAGCCUCCUACGGGAGGCAGCAGUGGGGAAUAUUGGACAAUGGGCGAAAGCCUGAUCCAGCCAUGCCGCGUGUGUGAAGAAGGUCUUCGGAUUGUAAAGCACUUUAAGUUGGGAGGAAGGGCAGUAAGUUAAUACCUUGCUGUUUUGACGUUACCGACAGAAUAAGCACCGGCUAACUCUGUGCCAGCCGCCGCCGUAA